rnacentral:rRNA from 1 species
GGGUUGUGAGGUUAAGCGACUAAGCGUACACGGUGGAUGCCCUGGCAGUCAGAGGCGAUGAAGGACGUGCUAAUCUGCGAUAAGCGUCGGUAAGGUGAUAUGAACCGUUAUAACCGGCGAUUUCCGAAUGGGGAAACCCAGUGUGUUUCGACACACUAUCAUUAACUGAAUCCAUAGGUUAAUGAGGCGAACCGGGGGAACUGAAACAUCUAAGUACCCCGAGGAAAAGAAAUCAACCGAGAUUCCCCCAGUAGCGGCGAGCGAACGGGGAGCAGCCCAGAGCCUGAAUCAGUGUGUGUGUUAGUGGAAGCGUCUGGAAAGGCGCGCGAUACAGGGUGACAGCCCCGUACACAAAAAUGCACAUACUGUGAGCUCGAUGAGUAGGGCGGGACACGUGGUAUCCUGUCUGAAUAUGGGGGGACCAUCCUCCAAGGCUAAAUACUCCUGACUGACCGAUAGUGAACCAGUACCGUGAGGGAAAGGCGAAAAGAACCCCGGCGAGGGGAGUGAAAAAGAACCUGAAACCGUGUACGUACAAGCAGUGGGAGCACGCUUAGGCGUGUGACUGCGUACCUUUUGUAUAAUGGGUCAGCGACUUAUAUUCUGUAGCAAGGUUAACCGAAUAGGGGAGCCGAAGGGAAACCGAGUCUUAACUGGGCGUUAAGUUGCAGGGUAUAGACCCGAAACCCGGUGAUCUAGCCAUGGGCAGGUUGAAGGUUGGGUAACACUAACUGGAGGACCGAACCGACUAAUGUUGAAAAAUUAGCGGAUGACUUGUGGCUGGGGGUGAAAGGCCAAUCAAACCGGGAGAUAGCUGGUUCUCCCCGAAAGCUAUUUAGGUAGCGCCUCGUGAAUUCAUCUCCGGGGGUAGAGCACUGUUUCGGCAAGGGGGUCAUCCCGACUUACCAACCCGAUGCAAACUGCGAAUACCGGAGAAUGUUAUCACGGGAGACACACGGCGGGUGCUAACGUCCGUCGUGAAGAGGGAAACAACCCAGACCGCCAGCUAAGGUCCCAAAGUCAUGGUUAAGUGGGAAACGAUGUGGGAAGGCCCAGACAGCCAGGAUGUUGGCUUAGAAGCAGCCAUCAUUUAAAGAAAGCGUAAUAGCUCACUGGUCGAGUCGGCCUGCGCGGAAGAUGUAACGGGGCUAAACCAUGCACCGAAGCUGCGGCAGCGACACUAUGUGUUGUUGGGUAGGGGAGCGUUCUGUAAGCCUGUGAAGGUGUACUGUGAGGUAUGCUGGAGGUAUCAGAAGUGCGAAUGCUGACAUAAGUAACGAUAAAGCGGGUGAAAAGCCCGCUCGCCGGAAGACCAAGGGUUCCUGUCCAACGUUAAUCGGGGCAGGGUGAGUCGACCCCUAAGGCGAGGCCGAAAGGCGUAGUCGAUGGGAAACAGGUUAAUAUUCCUGUACUUGGUGUUACUGCGAAGGGGGGACGGAGAAGGCUAUGUUGGCCGGGCGACGGUUGUCCCGGUUUAAGCGUGUAGGCUGGUUUUCCAGGCAAAUCCGGAAAAUCAAGGCUGAGGCGUGAUGACGAGGCACUACGGUGCUGAAGCAACAAAUGCCCUGCUUCCAGGAAAAGCCUCUAAGCAUCAGGUAACAUCAAAUCGUACCCCAAACCGACACAGGUGGUCAGGUAGAGAAUACCAAGGCGCUUGAGAGAACUCGGGUGAAGGAACUAGGCAAAAUGGUGCCGUAACUUCGGGAGAAGGCACGCUGAUAUGUAGGUGAAGUCCCUCGCGGAUGGAGCUGAAAUCAGUCGAAGAUACCAGCUGGCUGCAACUGUUUAUUAAAAACACAGCACUGUGCAAACACGAAAGUGGACGUAUACGGUGUGACGCCUGCCCGGUGCCGGAAGGUUAAUUGAUGGGGUUAGCGCAAGCGAAGCUCUUGAUCGAAGCCCCGGUAAACGGCGGCCGUAACUAUAACGGUCCUAAGGUAGCGAAAUUCCUUGUCGGGUAAGUUCCGACCUGCACGAAUGGCGUAAUGAUGGCCAGGCUGUCUCCACCCGAGACUCAGUGAAAUUGAACUCGCUGUGAAGAUGCAGUGUACCCGCGGCAAGACGGAAAGACCCCGUGAACCUUUACUAUAGCUUGACACUGAACAUUGAGCCUUGAUGUGUAGGAUAGGUGGGAGGCUUUGAAGUGUGGACGCCAGUCUGCAUGGAGCCGACCUUGAAAUACCACCCUUUAAUGUUUGAUGUUCUAACGUUGACCCGUGAUCCGGGUUGCGGACAGUGUCUGGUGGGUAGUUUGACUGGGGCGGUCUCCUCCUAAAGAGUAACGGAGGAGCACGAAGGUUGGCUAAUCCUGGUCGGACAUCAGGAGGUUAGUGCAAUGGCAUAAGCCAGCUUGACUGCGAGCGUGACGGCGCGAGCAGGUGCGAAAGCAGGUCAUAGUGAUCCGGUGGUUCUGAAUGGAAGGGCCAUCGCUCAACGGAUAAAAGGUACUCCGGGGAUAACAGGCUGAUACCGCCCAAGAGUUCAUAUCGACGGCGGUGUUUGGCACCUCGAUGUCGGCUCAUCACAUCCUGGGGCUGAAGUAGGUCCCAAGGGUAUGGCUGUUCGCCAUUUAAAGUGGUACGCGAGCUGGGUUUAGAACGUCGUGAGACAGUUCGGUCCCUAUCUGCCGUGGGCGCUGGAGAACUGAGGGGGGCUGCUCCUAGUACGAGAGGACCGGAGUGGACGCAUCACUGGUGUUCGGGUUGUCAUGCCAAUGGCACUGCCCGGUAGCUAAAUGCGGAAGAGAUAAGUGCUGAAAGCAUCUAAGCACGAAACUUGCC